rnacentral:rRNA from 1 species
GAUGAACGCUGGCGGCGUGCCUAAUACAUGCAAGUCGAGCGAACGGACGAGAAGCUUGCUUCUCUGAUGUUAGCGGCGGACGGGUGAGUAACACGUGGAUAACCUACCUAUAAGACUGGGAUAACUUCGGGAAACCGGAGCUAAUACCGGAUAAUAUUUUGAACCGCAUGGUUCAAAAGUGAAAGACGGUCUUGCUGUCACUUAUAGAUGGAUCCGCGCUGCAUUAGCUAGUUGGUAAGGUAACGGCUUACCAAGGCAACGAUGCAUAGCCGACCUGAGAGGGUGAUCAGCCACACUGGAACUGAGACACGGUCCAGACUCCUACGGGAGGCAGCAGUAGGGAAUCUUCCGCAAUGGGCGAAAGCCUGACGGAGCAACGCCGCGUGAGUGAUGAAGGUCUUCGGAUCGUAAAACUCUGUUAUUAGGGAAGAACAUAUGUGUAAGUAACUGUGCACAUCUUGACGGUACCUAAUGAGAAAGCAACGGCUAACUACGUG